GGUGAAGGGGGUAACGUCGUGGGGCGUCCAGUUGUGUCUGUCCGCCAGGAUGCAGUGGAGGCUGCGGGGGGAAAGCCUGGAGAUCCGCAGAAGAGCACCUAGCAAAGACAGCCCAUAACUGUCGGGAUUUUGUUUCGGCACGUUGUGCAGAUGCCAGAUCCUCCAGCACCAGCAUCAGGAGGUUUGUGCUGGCAUGGCAGAAGGGAGCAGCCAUGGAAGCAGGGGAGACCAGAUCGCCUCUGCUGGCACCGACCACCCUGUGCCGGUGGGAACAGCCCUGGGAAGCAACUGCAUUCUGCUGAAUGGGAAGGCACGUCCUUCAGACAGAAUUAGUAAUAAAUCAAGGAGCUAUAUUGUGCAGAACUUACCGGCUUGCUGCGAGGCUGGACCAGGUCAGAGAGCUUCAGAACAACAACCCGGUCCUGCCUGGUCUCCAGAGCCGGGGGCAAGGAGCGGUGCU